rnacentral:lncRNA from 1 species
AAAACACAAAGUUUUGAAAUAUUAUGUGUGUGGAUACGUGCCUGGACUGCAUUCUCCCCUGAGAGCAGUGAAAAUGUCAUUUUUAUCUCACGGAGCUGUUUGCCUUUAGGUUAAAGACUGUUCACCAAGCACUUCCAUCACCCUCACCCAAUUUGUUAGGUUUCUUUGUUUUCUUGGCCUCUGGAAACCUGAGGGCCAGAGUGAUGGCUCCAUUAACAGCCUCAGGGUGAGGGCUGGCUGUAAAUUAGUGUGUGGCUACAGGCACAUUUGGGUGUCUGUGUCUCCAGAGCCCAAUUUUUCAGACUGAAAAAUAAGCUGUCUGGUCACAUUUUGGCUAGCACUGUCAAGCGAAGAAUCCUAGAGUCAGAAACUUUCUGUUAUAUUAGCUCUGUCUUCCAUACUUCAUAACAAAGUGGCAACACGACCCUAACAUGGUCAAGUCCAAAGUAGAUUUCACCCUAAAACUUAAAGGAGAGAGACCUCAUAUCCCAGUGACUGUCAAUUUUAUAUAAAUGGCCGACACAGU